rnacentral:tRNA from 1 species
GUCCUCGUAGCUCAGCUGGAUAGAGCAAUCGCCUCCUAAGCGAUAGGUCGUGAGUUCAAAUCUCAUCGAGGACG